UCCUUCUUUCCAGAAUUUUGUUUCAGCCCCAACCCUAAAUAUGAACUUUUGAUUUUGCGCCACCGUAAAUCACAACCAUCAACCGCCAUCUUAUUUGUUCGUGGUGGUCAUCCGACGACUAUUCUCCAUUUUCCAUUGUUGUGGUGUUUGAUAAAAAGAUUGAAAGAUUUGAAGCUACCUCCCUGUUUGAUACUCAAAUUGCUGAACCCGUUCAGACUUUGAAGGAAUAUUUGAAAACCUACAAGGAACAAUUCACAUCAGUAUUAGCAUUUUGUCCAACAGCAUUGAUCCAAUUGACAUAGAUGAUCCUAUUUUUCCAACAUAUAAUGUAGAGAGAAAUUGCUUCAGAUUCCAUCAAUGUAUUAAGAGCAUAGAGCGUACCAGUGGAAGAUGAGCAAUCUCCAUCUUGAUUACUACUUUGACACACUGUUAUCAAGGGGAAAACUUUACAUUAGAAGAUGAUCAUUACUUUGAAAAUUAAAAUUAUCUUGAUGGUCUUACAAGAUAAUAUAGAGAAAGAACAAAGAUGAAUUCAAUGUGUUGGCUAUCUCAUUAAAUUUUGUAAUAUAAACUUAUUUUGAAUGUUUACACAGUAUUAAAUCUAUAAAUUUAUUAAAAUUGUUUCAAAAGACUAGAAAAUAUUUCUGGCCCUAAAAAUGUGGCCAACCCAAUAACCCGCAUCAACCGCUUAGAUGUACCCGCAACCCGACAAGACCCAACCCGCGAAAACCGAUUUUAAAUUGGGCGGAAAUGGGUCUUUCAAAGUCAACCGCGGUUUGGGUUGGGUGGAACUUUUGAGCCCGAACCCGCCCAACCCGGCCCGUUGUCCACCCCUAGUAAUUUAUAUAGCAAUUGCAGUACAGUACUAACCAUAUGAAAAUGGAAGCGGAUUCACUGACUUUUACGCGGGAGAGUUAGGUGACUUUCAGCUAAUUUCAACGGUCCCAUCAAUCCAUUGUUCCAUAUCUUGCCACAUAUUCUGCUUCUUUUAAAUUAAUUUUGAAAACAAAACUUAAGCAAACAAAAUAAUGUUUAUGUUAAAAAUAAAGCAUCAUCAACACUGAUCAAACCUCUGUUUCUUGCCGUCAACCCCGGUAUUUUCGUCACCGGCUGCAACUAUUGGUCUUCUAUUAAUUUCACAUUUGAUCAUGGUAGAAAGUUGAGUAUAGUUUUUCUUUAUAAAAAAAUUGGAUGUUUAAUUUAUGAAUAUGAUUUCUGUAAAAAAACAAUUUUAUUGAAAUAAAAAAAGUCAACCGUUUUUUAAGGCUGAAGCAGAUAAAAAUGAAGAAAAUAAAUGCCAAAAAAAUUAGAGAUGGAUGUCGGUGGCAUGUUCCUAGCGCAACCAAGAUGAGCAGGCCGAAGGUUAAGGAGGUGCAAAGGCGGCUGAAAACUGAAAGAUUCCAUGAGCGACAACAACCGGAAGUUGAAGGAGGAUCAAAGCGGUGGAAAAUUGAAAGCGGCAAUGAGCGACGAGAACCGAAGGUUGAAGGAGGUGCAAAGCGGUGGGAAAUUGAAAGCAGUUAUUAGUGACGAUGAGCGAAGAUUGAAAGAGGUGCAAGGGCGGUGGAAAAUUGAAAGUGGCGAUGAGUGACGGCGAGCGAAGGGUGAAGGAGAUGCAAAAGCAAUGGAAAUUGAAAGCGACGAGAUGAGAGGUUGAAGAUGCAUGCAAUACUUUCCUUACUUUAAUUUUUUUUUUUAACUUUGAAACUCAAGUUACUUUUUAAAAUGAAAACAAAUUAUAAAGCACAAGUGUGAUGAUAUCAUACACAUGAUUAAUCAAACGAUUAAUCAAAC